rnacentral:rRNA from 1 species
CAGUAGCCGCGGGAAUACGUAGGUGGCAAGCGUUGUCCGGAAUUAUUGGGCGUAAAGGGCUCGCAGGCGGUUUCUUAAGUCUGAUGUGAAAGCCCCCGGCUCAACCGGGGAGGGUCAUUGGAAACUGGGAAACUUGAGUGCAGAAGAGGAGAGUGGAAUUCCACGUGUAGCGGUGAAAUGCGUAGAGAUGUGGAGGAUCACCAGUGGCGAAGGCGACUCUCUGGUCUGUAACUGACGCUGAGGAGCGAAAGCGUGGGGAGCGAACAGGAUUAGAUACCCGUGUAGUCCCUGUCUCUUAUAC